GGCAGAGUGGCCGAGUGGUUAAGGCGUUGCACUUGAAUUCCUAAUUCAGAUAUGCAAUACGUUCGCGUUCGCAAGUUCGAAUCUUGUCUCUGUCG